UUUAGGCUUAGGCUUAGGCUUAGGCUUAGGCUUAGGCUUAGGCUUAGGCUUAGGCUUAGGCUUAGGCUUAGGCUU
ensembl:ncRNA R06C1.14 ncRNA